GGUUUGGGCGUAGGGCUCGCAGGCGGUUUCUUAAGUCUGAUGUGAAAGCCCCCGGCUCAACCGGGGAGGGUCAUUGGAAACUGGGGAACUUGAGUGCAGAAGAGGAGAGUGGAAUUCCACGUGUAGCGGUGAAAUGCGUAGAGAUGUGGAGGAACACCAGUGGCGAAGGCGACUCUCUGGUCUGUAACUGACGCUGAGGAGCGAAAGCGUGGGGAGCGAACAGGAUUAGAUACCCUGGUAGUCCACGCCGUAAACGAUGAGUGCUAAGUGUUAGGGGGUUUCCGCCCCUUAGUGCUGCAGCUAACGCAUUAAGCACUCCGCCUGGGGAGUACGGUCGCAAGACUGAAACUCAAAGGAAUUGACGGGGGCCCGCACAAGCGGUGGAGCAUGUGGUUUAAUUCGAAGCAACGCGAAGAACCUUACCAGGUCUUGACAUCCUCUGACAACCCUAGAGAUAGGGCUUCCCCUUCGGGGGCAGAGUGACAGGUGGUGCAUGGUUGUCGUCAGCUCGUGUCGUGAGAUGUUGGGUUAAGUCCCGCAACGAGCGCAACCCUUGAUCUUAGUUGCCAGCAUUCAGUUGGGCACUCUAAGGUGACUGCCGGUGACAAACCGGAGGAAGGUGGGGAUGACGUCAAAUCAUCAUGCCCCUUAUGACCUGGGCUACACACGUGCUACAAUGGACAGAACAAAGGGCAGCGAGACCGCGAGGUUAAGCCAAUCCCACAAAUCUGUUCUCAGUUCGGAUCGCAGUCUGCAACUCGACUGCGUGAAGCUGGAAUCGCUAGUAAUCGCGGAUCAGCAUGCCAUACGUUCCCGGGCCUUGUACACACCGCCUCACACCACGAGAGUUUGUAACACCCGAAGUCGGUGAGGUAACCUUUAUGGAGCCAGCCGCCGAAGGUGGGACAGAUGAUUGGGGUGAAGUCGUACAGGG
rnacentral:rRNA from 1 species